rnacentral:rRNA from 1 species
GACGAACGCUGGCGGCGUGCUUAACACAUGCAAGUCGAACGGAAAGGCCCUUCUUUUGUGGGGUGCUCGAGUGGCGAACGGGUGAGUAACACGUGAGUAACCUGCCCUUGACUUUGGGAUAACUUCAGGAAACUGGGGCUAAUACCGGAUAGGAGCUCCUGCUGCAUGGUGGGGGUUGGAAAGUUUCGGCGGUUGGGGAUGGACUCGCGGCUUUUCAGCUUGUUGGUGGGGUAGUGGCUUACCAAGGCUUUGACGGGUAGCCGGCCUGAGAGGGUGACCGGCCACAUUGGGACUGAGAUACGGCCCAGACUCCUACGGGAGGCAGCAGUGGGGAAUAUUGCAAAAUGGGCGGAAGCCGGAUGCAGCAACGCCGCGUGCGGGAUGACGGCCUUCGGGUUGUAAACCGCUUUCGCCUGUGACGAAGCGUGAGUGACGGUAAUGGGUAAAGAAGCACCGGCUAACUACGUG